AUUGAACGCUGGCGGCAGGCCUAACACAUGCAAGUCGAAUGGUAACAGGAAACAGCUUGCUGUUUCGCUGACGAGUGGCGGACGGGUGAGUAAUGUCUGGGAAACUGCCUGGUGGAGGGGGAUAACUACUGGAAACGGUAGCUAAUACCGCAUAACGUCGCAAGACCAAAGAGGGGGACCUUCGGGCCUCUUGCCAUCAGAUGUGCCCAGAUGGGAUUAGCUAGUAGGUGGGGUAACGGCUCACCUAGGCGACGAUCCCUAGCUGGUCUGAGAGGAUGACCAGCCACACUGGAACUGAGACACGGUCCAGACUCCUACGGGAGGCAGCAGUGGGGAAUAUUGCACAAUGGGCGCAAGCCUGAUGCAGCCAUGCCGCGUGUAUGAAGAAGGCCUUCGGGUUGUAAAGUACUUUCAGCGGGGAGGAAGGGAGUAAAGUUAAUACCUUUGCUCAUUGACGUUACCCGCAGAAGAAGCACCGGCUAACUCCGUG
rnacentral:rRNA from 1 species